rnacentral:rRNA from 1 species
CCUACGGGGUGCAGCAGUGGGGAAUAUUGGACAAUGGGCGAAAGCCUGAUCCAGCCAUGCCGCGUGUGUGAAGAAGGCCUUCGGGUUGUAAAGCACUUUCAGUGGGGAAGAAAGCCUUGGGGCUAAUACCCUCGAGGAAGGACAUCACCCACAGAAGAAGCACCGGCUAACUCCGUGCCAGCAGCCGCGGUAAUGCGGAGGGUGCGAGCGUUAAUCGGAAUUACUGGGCGUAAAGCGCGCGUAGGCGGUCUGAUAAGCCGGUUGUGAAAGCCCCGGGCUCAACCUGGGAACGGCAUCCGGAACUGUCAGGCUAGAGUGCAGGAGAGGAAGGUAGAAUUCCCGGUGUAGCGGUGAAAUGCGUAGAGAUCGGGAGGAAUACCAGUGGCGAAGGCGGCCUUCUGGACUGACACUGACGCUGAGGUGCGAAAGCGUGGGUAGCAAACAGGAUUAGAUACCCUAGUAGUC